rnacentral:rRNA from 1 species
GAUGAACGCUGGCGGCGUGCUUAACACAUGCGAGUCGAACGGGAAACCUUUUAUUGAAGCUUCGGCAGAUUUAGCUGGUUUCUAGUGGCGGACGGGUGAGUAACGCGUGGGUAACCUGCCUUAUACAGGGGGAUAACAAUCAGAAAUGGCUGCUAAUACCGCAUAAGCGCACAGAGCUGCAUGGCUCAGUGUGAAAAACUCCGGUGGUAUAAGAUGGACCCGCGUUGGAUUAGCUGGUUGGUGGGGUAACGGCCCACCAAGGCGACGAUCCAUAGCCGGCCUGAGAGGGUGAACGGCCACAUUGGGACUGAGACACGGCCCAGACUCCUACGGGAGGCAGCAGUGGGGAAUAUUGCACAAUGGGGGAAACCCUGAUGCAGCGACGCCGCGUGAAGGAAGAAGUAUCUCGGUAUGUAAACUUCUAUCAGCAGGGAAGAUAAUGACGGUACCUGACUAAGAAGCCCCGGCUAACUACGUG